rnacentral:tRNA from 1 species
GAGAAAUAUAGGUUAAAUUUAAGCUUCUAACUUAAGUUUGGGUGGGUCGGUCCAUUCAUUUCUUU